rnacentral:tmRNA from 1 species
GGGGGUGUCUUGGUUUCGACGGGGUCGUUGAAACAGGAGAAGCGGGUAGUGGAUUCUCGUUGGCCACUUUAAAAAACGAGAGUAUAUAAUAAACGCUGACAAUAACAAGUUAGCACUCGCAGCCUAAUAUAGGCUGCCGUCCUGCCCAGGAGGACCACGGCCCGGGAUGGGGCGUCGACAGUGGUGAACGUGACACGGCAAAGCUUUGAGCCGUGCAUGACAAAUGAAGCUACUGAAGCUGUAAGCCUGUUCAUGGGCGUGCGGCGGAGGGAAUGUUAAAGCAUGAACUGCACCCGGAGAAGCUCUUGUGGAAGCGGUUUCGGACAGGGGUUCAACUCCCCUCACCUCCACCA